rnacentral:rRNA from 1 species
GAUGAACGCUAGCUACAGGCUUAACACAUGCAAGUCGAGGGGCAGCAUGGUCUUAGCUUGCUAAGGCCGAUGGCGACCGGCGCACGGGUGAGUAACACGUAUCCAACCUGCCGUCUACUCUUGGACAGCCUUCUGAAAGGAAGAUUAAUACAAGAUGGCAUCAUGAGUCCGCAUGUUCACAUGAUUAAAGGUAUUCCGGUAGACGAUGGGGAUGCGUUCCAUUAGAUAGUAGGCGGGGUAACGGCCCACCUAGUCUUCGAUGGAUAGGGGUUCUGAGAGGAAGGUCACCCACAUUGGAACUGAGACACGGUCCAAACUCCUACGGGAGGCAGCAGUGAGGAAUAUUGGUCAAUGGGCGAGAGCCUGAACCAGCCAAGUAGCGUGAAGGAUGACUGCCCUAUGGGUUGUAAACUUCUUUUAUAAAGGAAUAAAGUCGGGUAUGGAUACCCGUUUGCAUGUACUUUAUGAAUAAGGAUCGGCUAACUCCGUG